GCCCUUUGUUAAAUGAAAAAGAAACCGGAAGAAGUUAAAUAUUAAAGUUGGAAAACACUGAAACAGGACAUCCACCAAACGGAAUCUCAAUAUGCCAAUGACAGUUUACAUUAAAACCUUACACAAAAAUGAAACUGUUAUCGUAAGCGUGGAGCCGAGUGAUACAUUGGAAAACUUAUUUGAAAAGUGGAAUACACCCGAGAAUAAUGAUAUUGGAUAUACAACUGAUACUGUACGGUUCAUAUUUGAAGGACGUUCGCUUGAGCGAGGCAGGACGAUUUCGGAGUAUAAUAUAACGAAUGGAUCAUCAAUCACUUUUGUUCUAAGACUUAGAGCAAGCUGAUUUUGAACAAUGUGAUACUGUUCAUAUAUAAUCUGUACUUGUUUUAAUAUUUAUGCAAAACAAAUACUAGUGCAAUAAUGUAGCCCCCCCUUUUUUGGAGAGAAAGAGGAAAAACAUCCAAUCUUGACACCUUUUACAUGGCUACAUUAUUGC